GUCGUUUUGUCCGAGUGGUUAAGGAGUGAGACUUGAAAUCUCAUGGGCUCUGCCCACGCAGGUUCAAACCCUGCAGGCGACG